CGCAAGCCUGACGGAGCAACGCCGCGUGCGGGAGGACGGCCUGUGGGUUGUAAACCGCUUUUCUCAGGGAAGAAGGUCUGACGGUACCAGAGGAAUAAGCCUCGGCUAACUCCGUGCCAGCAGCCGCGGUAAUACGGAGGAGGCAAGCGUUAUCCGGAAUUAUUGGGCGUAAAGCGUCCGUAGGUGGUUAUUCAAGUCUGCUGUCAAAGCGUGGGGCUUAACUCCAUAGAGGCAGUGGAAACUGGAUGACUUGAGUGCGGUAGGGGUCGAGGGAAUUCCCAGUGUAGCGGUGAAAUGCGUAGAUAUUGGGAAGAACACCAGUGGCGAAGGCGCUCUACUGGGCCGCAACUGACGCUGAGGGACGAAAGCUAGGGGAGCG
rnacentral:rRNA from 1 species